rnacentral:misc_RNA from 1 species
ACAAACUUGGUCAUUUAGAGGAAGUAAAAGUCGUAACAAGGUUUCCGUAGGUGAACCUGCGGAAGGAUCAUUACUGUGAAAGCGCUGGGGUUCGCCCUCGGCUUGCACACCCCCUGUGUUAUCUAUCCGGUUGCUUCGGCGGGGCAGGGGACACCCUCGCUACCUUUGGGCGGCGAGUCCCCGUCGAAGACCUCUUCAACUCUGGCGUUUGCAGGUUGUCCGAGCAAAUUUGAAUCAUCAAAACUUUCAACGAUGGAUCUCUUGGUUCCAGCAUCGAUGAAGAACGCAGC